AUGAGGGCAGUGACAGCAGGAGCCCCAAGCUCACAGAGUAAUGUCAUAGCAGCCAUUCCAUCUUCACGCCAAGUCAGGUGUGGCUCACCUGGGUCCCCAGGUUACACAUGAGGAGCAGAGGUUGCAGUGGCUCCUGCCAGAGCUCACAGAGCAGGAUUUUAACCUGGGCAGUCAGACAACCUCUGGCAUAGUCCUCAGGAUUGUAGGUGGAAAGGAGUUACACCAAAUCCUUGUGUUCUAGAUAAGGACACUGAGAUGGUGGCAGGGAAGCCGUUUACCGAGUACAUUACUUAGCUUCGGUUGGGACUAGCAUCCUCCAUGUCCUGUCAAUUUUGGCUCUUUCUGCUUCUGGGUGACCUCUGAAUGAGCCAGCCUGGCCCAGUUCCAGCACUUCCGGCUCUCAGACUAUAGCUUUCUUUUUCUUUUUCCAAUUUUGCACAUGUGUUAUAUGCAUGUUUGUGUGUAUAAAUGUGGGUCCUCAUGCAUGUGUGUGCAUGCAUGUGUGUGGGGCUCUGAAGUUAGUGUUGGGAACCAUCUUUAAUUGCUCUUCUUCCAUUCUCACUGAGGCAGGGUCUCUCAAAUGCAGAGUUUGCCCUGAGAUGCUAUCUCUGCCUUCCGACAUUGAGAUUACAACAAGCUGCCAUUCCUGUGGGUUUUGGAGAUCCCAUCUCUGGUCUUUAUGGUUGUAUGGCAAGUCCUUUAACCACUGAGCAAUCUCCUCAGCCCCCCCUCCUUUUUCAAGGGUGGGGUUCAUUUGGUGCUACCCAGUACACCCCUGGCUAAGAGGGAGAGGACAGAACUUCUGUGUUAGAGCGGGGCCCGAGCUAGCUAGCCUGGGACCAAAUGUGGGCUGCUAUUCUUUUUCUGGGUUUCAGGACUGGUUUCUGGUCCCUCCAUUCCCAUCCUCAAAGACAUGAAGGCAUGCCCACUCGUAGCUUCCCCUUUAGAGCAGAGGGACUUGGCUGUGGCCCUCAGGGCGUCCUAUAAGGACACAAGAUAUACUCCUUAUCAGACUGGGACUCUUGUUCCCAGGGUGUCAAAGGUGCUGACUUUAAACCUCACUGGGAACCUUGAGACAGGGCCUUAGGUGUAUAGUAGUUUGGGUUUCUGUUGUCCAAAGAGCAGCCUUUGACACAUGUAUGUCUGUAUACUAUGUCGGGGAAUACUUGACCGUCCAACUUCUCUAAGGGCAAAAAGAGGUAUUAUCCAUUCCAGGUUCAUUCAGAAGCAAUAGAGGACUGGCAAAAUGGCUUUCUUAUGUGAUGGCAUUCCAGUGGGUACGGGCUCUUGCCAUCAAGCAAGAUGUCUUAGUCACUGUUCUGUUGCUGUGAAGACACACCACGACCAAGGCAAUUCUUAUAAAAGACAGCAUUUAAUUGGGGCUGGCUUACAGUGCCAGAGGUUGAGUCCAUUGUCAACAUGGCAGCAAGAGACUGGGCCCAGCAUGGACUUUGAAACCUCAAAGUCCACUCCCAGUAACAUACUUCCUCUGACAAGGCCACGCCCUUAAUCCUUCUCAUUCCUAUAAAAGAGUUUCACUCACUGGCGACUAGGCAUUUAAAUGUAUGAGCUUAUGAGGGCUGCUCUCAGGCAGGCCACUGUACCUGGUGAUCUGAGUUAGUGCUUGGCACUCACGUGGUGAGAGGAGAGAGCAGGUGUCCUCUAAAUUUUAUGCUGUGUGCACAUAAAUGAAUAGAUGUAGAAAGAAGCCCAAAACAAUGGAGAAAUACAUUUGCUCCACUAAAAUAGAAAAAGAAAAUGCCUUCAUGAAAAGACAUUUCUAAGAUUCUGCCCCUUGCUUUCUCUUGAGUCACUGUCCUGGCUGGUCCUGUCCUUCUUUCUUACUUGAAGCAUGAACCCCAACAUUGCAUUUGGGCAGGCUAAGUGAUCCCUGCACAAACAUCUCCCUGGGUUUUCAGAGUGGAGCAUCUCUUCUCCACCAGGCUCUUUGUGGUAUGUUCACCCUAUUCUGUAAACUCAGUGGGCUCCUUCCUCCUGGAGUCCGGUCUCUACUGUCUCUUGAGCUCUCUGACCCACAUUCCACUAAGAAAUAUGAUGUGCCAGCAGUUGACCAGGCAGGCACCUGGUAGGGAUGCCAAGGGUGAACAGCUAGGUCGGUUCCCUUUUGUGAAAGUGGACACGUGAGUGGAGCCUGCCUAGUGUGGUACGGCUCCAGGGAAGCAGCAUUCUAGAAGUUGCCAGAAUUGGGGGUAUGAGCUCCCUGGUGCCAUUCCUUCCUGUCAAGCCUUAGUCGGUCUUAAAAGUAGUGAAGUCUGCUGUCUCUAAAAAGCAGAAAAUAGAAAACCACAAAGAAGGCGGGUCUGUAGUUUAUAGCCAUGGACUCUGCAUGGCCAUGAUGUUUUGGCCACUUGGCUGACCCCAGGCCUGUUUCAUGAGAGACUCAGUCUGGGCUCUCAGCCUUUAGUUUGUGAAGAAUAGGUUGCUGCUGCUGCUGCUGCUGGGCAGUUCCCCUUUUAGUGUGAGCGGAACACCUCAUGUGUUUUAUGGUCUAGUGUGAGCAGAACACCUCAGGUGUCUUAUGGUCUAGUGUGAGCGGAACACCUCAGGUAUAUUAUGGUUUAGUGUGAGUGGAACACUUCAGGUAUAUUAUGGUCUAGUGUGAGUGGAACACCUCAGGUGUCUUAUGGUCUAGUGUGAGCGGAACACCUCAGGUGUCCUGUGGUCUAGUGUGAGCGGAACACCUCAGGUGCCCUGUGGUCUAGUGUGAGCGGAACACCUCAGGUGUCCUGUGGUCUAGUGUGAGUGUUGAAUGUAAUCGAGUGUAACUGGAUAUAGGGAAAUGUUCAGGUUUACUGGUCUUACAGACUAGUACUUAACUACCUCAGAGGGUGAAAGUGUCUGUGGAAGUCAUCAUUCAUCUGGCCUGGUGAUGCUCAUUAUGUGAACUACAGCUAGAAUGCUGGUGUGGGCCAGGGUGAGAUUCCUUGUCUGAUCUUCUGGUCUGCUUGGUAGGAAUGACUCCUCAUAGGGAGAUCAGGUACCUUCUGGUACCACAGUAGGUAAAAGGACUAGAGGGUAAAGCUCUGGGGCCAUGCUGCAAUGACUCUCUUAGGUCACACUCUGAGCAGGAGGAUCACAAGCCCAGGCUUCUGUAGUUCUCUCAGGUCACCAUGUGAGCACAUCUUUCUCUGACUCCAGCUUUGGGCUCAUCCCCUUUGUUCAAGAGGUACUGAUGGGAGCCACUGUGGGAGAGACACUGCCUGACUGUAGAGCCUUUCCCAGGGAGCUAGGAAAUUGAUCCGAACCUGGAAUGGACCAUUGAUAGCUACAAGCAAGCUGAGAGCCCAGGGAAGUGAGUGAUGGCCAUGUGGGGAGGGGUGAGCUGUCCCACUAAGAGGGCAUUGGGAACAGAGAGCUGGCAGUGAAGCUCAGGUAUCUUGGUUGGUGUCCUAGAGGUUUGAAUGAGGGUUGCCCCACCAUAGAGUGUUCCAUGGUCUGUUCCCUGCUUCAAAGGACUAAGUCCAAGACCUCCGUGGUCCCAGGGAGCAAGCCGCCGCCUUUUCUUAGUGUUUAAGCCCUGAAGUUUGUCUAAGAUACGUCAGGGCCUGUUCUCAGCAUCUUGGGCCUGUGGUGGUUGGGCACCCAAAGGCUCAGAGUGCUGUUUGGCACUCUCUUCAAACCUGCCCCUUCCAUUUUUCUGGUACGUCGGUGUGCUGACGACGGAGACCCCUGCUUCUCCAGGCAUACUUUCUGCCUUGAGCCUUCCAGACCUUACCUAUCGCUUCCUAAUUUGGGAAUCACUGUUGCUCCAUCUAUGGUGGGAUUGGGGAUAGGGAUGGGGUCCUCAGGACCAGCACUGCCCUGUGUUUCAGCCAAACAAGUUCCUGUUCUCCUGCCCAGGUGUGGGCAGGCCAGCUCUUUAGCUCCGUUCACUUGCAGUGAACUCUGGGGGGAAGGGAUGCACAUUAAGCAGUUAUGAGAGCUCUGGUGCCCAAGCCAGCCCACUUCCGCCUCAAGGACUUAGGUGUGCUGAUGGUGGUUGUUUCUAUUCACUUUCUGCCAGUACGAUCCUAAGAUACCCUGUUCUCAUCGGGGAUUCUAUGGCAUGUUAAGCUGCUCCCAGGAUAUGGUAGUAUAUCUGGUUUUAUUUUGCUGUGUUUUGCCCUGGUGUGGCAGGGAUUAGGUGUUGCCUUUGGCCUCUCUCCCAAGGUGUAGGCUGUCUGGCUUGAGAAGGGAUGCCAGUGCCUUGGCCCCAGGCUGUGGGCCCCAGAGUAAGGGGCUGGCUUCCAGCUAGGGAGGGGGAACUGAGGAGGAGGCUGGGUGUGCUCCCCUAGCAUUCACUAAAGGCCAAGUGGCCUGAGAGACAGUAAACAGGCUUCUACUGGCUGCGGCAGUGAAGGCAAGGUGCCCCACCAGAGGGAAGUCUUGGGCUGGGGAGGCACAAGGCAUGUGGCAGCCCCCUUUUUUGUUACUUGUCUCAAUACUGUAACCGAGUACCUGACAGAACCCACUUAAGGGAGGAGCCAUUUCCUUUGGCCCUGCUAUGAGAGGGUACAAUCUGUCACCGUGGGGACCAGAGUAGCUUGCUCCCUGGUGUCUUAGUCGGGGUUUUACUGAUGUGAGGAGGCAUCAUAACAAGGCAAGUCUUGUAAAGACCAACAUUUAAUUGGGGCUGGCUUACAGGUUCAGAGGGUCAGUCUAUUAUCAUCAAGGUGGGAGCGUGGCAGUGUCCAGAAAGGCAUGGUGCUAGAGGAGCUGAGAGUUCACCAUCUUGUUCUAAAGGCAAACAGGAGAAGACUGGCUUCCAGGCAUCAUGGACAAAGGUCUUAAAAGCCAUACCCACAGUGACUUCUUCCAGCAAGGCCACACCCACUCCAGCAAGGCCAUGCCUCCAAGUAGUACCACUCCCCAGGCCAAGCACGUUCAAACCACCACACCUGUGACAAAACCUUGCUUGCUCACACUGGCUGAUCAAGGAGUAGAAACCUGGAUAAGAAUUGAGCCCAGGCUGUAACCCUGAGGGCCCACCCCUGGAGAUGUGCGUCUGUUGGCUUUACUGUCUCUUGUAACAGUUGGCCAGCCUCCUGAGAUGGCACCACCAGCCAGUGAAGAUUGGAACACACAAGCCUGCGUGGGACGGCCUGCUCAUUUAACCCAUAACACCUCUCCUCUGUUAACUGAAGGCCACCCUCAGAGGGAGUUGGGGUGUGGGCUGUAGGUAGGGCUUGGGGAGGGUGUUUGAGAUGUCAGCAUGCAUACUUGGGCCGACCUCCAGCAGGGUGGACAGCCCUCAGACACUUCAGUGGUAGGUGAGAGAAGAGCAUGGGAUUGGGAGAGCCUGUUGGGUGCUGAGGGCAAAGGAAGGCCCUGAAGACUGAGCUGAGGGCAGAGCAGAGUGCUGAAGGCAAAGGACUGGCAUCUGCUCUCUGUUCUGGGGCUUUUACCUCAGGGGUCUUGGAAUGAAUCUGUUCUUGCUGAGUUAGCGCUCUUCGCCCGGUGAGAAGGGUGCUUACUGGGAGGUCAUUGUGAGCGUCACAGCAAAGCCUUCUCUUUAUAAUGUUUGGUUUAAUUGCAUGGCCUCAUCACAAGUUAGGCUUUAUUAGUAAUCCCUCCCCAC